rnacentral:rRNA from 1 species
CGUACACUCCUGCGGGAGGCAGCAGUGGGGAAUAUUGCACAAUGGGCGCAAGCCUGAUGCAGCCAUGCCGCGUGUAUGAAGAAGGCCUUCGGGUUGUAAAGUACUUUCAGCGGGGAGGAAGGCAAUACGGUUAAUAACCGUGUUGAUUGACGUUACCCGCAGAAGAAGCACCGGCUAACUCCGUGCCAGCAGCCGCGGUAAUACGGAGGGUGCAAGCGUUAAUCGGAAUUACUGGGCGUAAAGCGCACGCAGGCGGUCUGUCAAGUCGGAUGUGAAAUCCCCGGGCUCAACCUGGGAACUGCAUUCGAAACUGGCAGGCUUGAGUCUUGUAGAGGGGGGUAGAAUUCCAGGUGUAGCGGUGAAAUGCGUAGAGAUCUGGAGGAAUACCGGUGGCGAAGGCGGCCCCCUGGACAAAGACUGACGCUCAGGUGCGAAAGCGUGGGGAGCAAACAGGAUUAGAAACCCAGUAGUCCCAUG